rnacentral:lncRNA from 1 species
GUGGAAUGAAAAGAAUCUACUUUGAUGACAUUUCCAUUUUUAACAAAACGAACUUACAAGUUACAAACAAAGCACGUGCUAGGCUAUAAUGAAUAAUGAUACUAACACACACAUUCUACUGUGUUUAACACGUGUCUUACAUUUUCAGAAUGAUCCCAUUGCAGAAGCAAGAACCAAUCAAGUUUCAAAUAUCACUAUUUUCUUCUCAAAUCCAAACCAACCUUCAUGUCUGGCCCCAUCAAAACCUCUGCCACUUAGACUCCAUACUAAUACACCGUUCUACCUCAAAACCCUAUCUUUUUUCCAAAUUCUGAUACGCAUUUAGGUGAGUAUCUACUUGUAAAUUAGGGUUUAGGGU